rnacentral:rRNA from 1 species
GAUAUGGCUCAGGAUGAACGCUAGCUACAGGCUUAACACAUGCAAGUAGAGGGGCAUCAGGAAGAAAGCUUGCUUUCUUUGCUGGCGACCGGCGCACGGGUGAGUAACACGUAUCCAACCUGACCUUUACUCGGGGAUAGCCUUUCGAAAGAAAGAUUAAUACCCGAUGGCAUAAUGAUUCCGCAUGGUUUCAUUAUUAAAGGAUUCCGGUAAAGGAUGGGGAUGCGUUCCAUUAGGUUGUUGGUGAGGUAACGG